rnacentral:rRNA from 1 species
UACAGAGGGGGCAAGCGUUAUUCGGAAUUAUUGGGCGUAAAGGGCGCGUAGGCGGCCUUGCAAGUGACGGGUGAAAUCCCUCGGCUUAACCGAGGAACUGCCUGUCAGACUGCAUGGCUUGAGACCAGGAGAGGUGAGUGGAAUUCCCAGUGUAGCGGUGAAAUGCGUAGAUAUUGGGAGGAACACCAGUGGCGAAGGCGGCUCACUGGACUGGUACUGACGCUGAGGUGCGAAAGCUAGGGUAGCAAACGGG